GACGAACGCUGGCGGCGUGCUUAACACAUGCAAGUCGAACAGAAAGGCCCCUUUGGGGGUACUCGAGUGGCGCACGGGUGAGUAACACGUGAGUAACCUGCCCUUGACUUCGGGAUAACUUCAGGAAACUGGGGCUAAUACCGGAUAGGAAUCCUUGCUGCAUGGUGGGGGUUGGAAAGCUUCGGCGGUUUUGGAUGGACUCGCGGCUUAUCAGCUUGUUGGUGGGGUAGUGGCUUACCAAGGCUUUGACGGGUAGCCGGCCUGAGAGGGCGACCGGCCACAUUGGGACUGAGAUACGGCCCAGACUCCUACGGGAGGCAGCAGUGGGGAAUAUUGCACAAUGGGCGGAAGCCUGAUGCAGCAACGCCGCGUGCGGGAUGACGGCCUUCGGGUUGUAAACCGCUUUCAGCAGGGGCGAAGCUUGUGGUGACGGUACCUGCAGAAGAAGCACCGGCUAACUACGUG
rnacentral:rRNA from 1 species